rnacentral:lncRNA from 1 species
UACAAAAUUUAAUUUUUUUUUUCGUCUAAAGGAUUUCAUUGAUAGAAUGCGAUUGAGUUAUACAAAGCCGACAAGGAUGGAAAUCCUUUCGGAGACAAAGCCGGCGGGUACAUAGGAACCCCCUGAAACUUAAGGCCAAAAGAGGCGGAUAAACAUAACAAGCCUAAGAACAUAAGAUACAAAGAUAACUACUAAAGGAAUAACAGCUAAAGCCUCCAAAGCAACAACACUGAAAACUCUUCCCUACAAGCAGUCGACUAGCACUUCCAUAGAAUAGUUUGGCGCUGAGGAGAGGCAACAGACAGGAGCCUCGAAAAGAACCGAGCUCACACAACCAUCUCCACAGCAGAAACAAAGACGACGAGGCAAGAAGAACAGAACACAGAACCAAACCUCCACAACCACUAAAGAGCCAAUGAAAGUGAGAAGGCAAAGGAUCAAGGAGAACCUUGAGAUCCGAGAGGGGAAACGCCAAUUAGGACCACUCAACCUUACACACGGACCUUCGUAGACCCAGCCAAAGCCACCUACGGACUAAAAACUGGUUACGCCACGCAAAGAGAAGGGCAAGAGCUCGACCCACCAUAACGUCCAGAACUCAGCCGAGAACCAAAAGAGGUUCCAAGAGAGAGCUAGUAGAUGCCAUUAUAGAAAGCAAGCAUCCGAAAGAAGAACCCACAACCAGAACCUUACACCAAAACACCACACCGGAAACCAAGAGGAGGACAGAGAGAAGGCAGAGCUAGGAGUCAAACAAGCCUACCCUAAAGCAGAACCUAAGGCUUCACAACACAACAAGUCGAAUAACAAGCAAACACAAACCCUAGAAGACACUCAAACUCACCUACCGAGGAAGAAACCACACACAAUGAGGCCGUUGCUGCAAAACCAAUGGGAACAUCAGAAACAAUUCAUGGAAACGAAACGCCGGCUAAAUACACGCCUCUCACGAGACAGCACCACCGCAAAGCCAACAUAAAAUCCAAGAACAGAGUUCUUUAGAUCCACCACGGAACCAGCCGGAGCAUAAUACAAACCGACACCGACUCCCAAUCCAACGAGAACAGAGCCGACGCAAACAGAUUGUCAAGACAGUAGAAACAAAAUGGAAACUUUUAACCUCCAAAACCAGAUCGGAGAAAAGAGACAGAUCCACCGGGGAACAGAUCCGUCAAGAACAACACCAAUCCGCCACCUAUCCUCCAUGAUAGUCACCACGACGGAACGAACUACCAAACACGGGAGGAAGAGACAAAAGGAGGAGACGACGAGGGAAGGGUUUGAGAAGCAAGCAAGACACCACAGAUCUACAACUAAGAGAAGAAACUGAAACUACUAAGACCGGGACCGGCGAUGGUGCUAUGGAAGCCACCAAUCACCGGCCAAACGAGGAAGAAGAAGGGCUUGACGGCUAGGGCGAACAAGGGAAGCGAGAGAGGACUUUUUGUUCG